rnacentral:hammerhead_ribozyme from 1 species
AUCCAACUGACGAGUUUCAAAUAGGACGAAGCGGCACGUGUUCAGGAU